rnacentral:rRNA from 1 species
AGAGUUUGAUCAUAGCUCAGGAUGAACGCUGGCGGCGUGCCUAACACAUGCAAGUCGAGCGAGAAACAACUUCUAAGAAUUCCUCGGAAUGAUUAAAGUUGUGGAAAGCGGCGGACGGGUGAGUAACGCGUGGGCAACCUGCCCUAUACAGAGGGAUAGCCACUGGAAACGGUGAUUAAUACCUCAUGAUACUGCAAUAUCGCAUGAUGGUGCAGUCAAAGAUUUAUCGGUAUAGGAUGGGCCCGCGUCUGAUUAGCUAGUUGGUAAGGUAAUGGCUUACCAAGGCUUCGAUCAGUAGCCGACCUGAGAGGGUGAUCGGCCACACUGGAACUGAGACACGGUCCAGACUCCUACGGGAGGCAGCAGUGGGGAAUAUUGCACAAUGGGGGAAACCCUGAUGCAGCAACGCCGCGUGAGCGAUGAAGGCUUUCGGGUCGUAAAGCUCUGUCCUAAGGGAAGAAUAGAUGACGGUACCUUAGGAGGAAGCCCCGGCUAACUACGUGCCAGCAGCCGCGGUAAUACGUAGGGGGCAAGCGUUAUCCGGAAUCAUUGGGCGUAAAGGGUGCGUAGGCGGCCAGAAAAGUCAGAGGUGAAAGGCUACGGCUUAACCCGUAGUAAGCCUUUGAAACUAUUUGGCUUGAGUGCAGGAGAGGAAAGUGGAAAUUCCUAGUGUAGCGGUGAAAUGCGUAGAUAUUAGGAGGAACACCAGUGGCGAAAGGCGACUUUCUGGACUGUAACUGACGCUGAGGCACGAAAGCGGUGGGGAGCAACAGGAUUAGAUACCCUGGUAGUCCACCGCCGUAAACGAUGAAUACUAGGUGUCGGGGGAGACCUCGGUGC